rnacentral:tRNA from 1 species
GCGCCCGUAGCUCAGCCCGGAUAGAGCGUCUGCCUCCGGAGCAGAAGGCCAGAGGUUCAAAUCCUCUCGGGCGUACCA